rnacentral:RNase_P_RNA from 1 species
ACGGUAUUCUAGGUGGUCGCUGCUCAGCAAUGGGUGGAGGAAAGUCCGGACUCCUAGCAAACACGGUACCGUGGGAGUGUUUACGCAAUCACGGGAGGCGCAAGCCUAUGGACAGUGCCACAGAAAAUAACCGCCUUGCAUGCGUUUGCAUGUGAGGUAAGGGUGAAAACGUGCGGUAAGAGCGCACGAUCAGCUGCAGUAAUGUAUGCUGAGGGGUAAACCCUACCGGGAGCAAGACAAAGCAGCAUGUUCGGUCGUUUGUUCCGGUUUAAAACAUGCGGGUAUGUUGCAUAGAUAGAUGGCUACCAGCCUACUAUAAAAAGUAGGCGACAGAAUCCGGCUUAUUGAAUACCGUCGAU